GACGAACGCUGGCGGCGUGCUUAACACAUGCAAGUCGAACGGAAAGGCCCUGCUUUUGUGGGGUGCUCGAGUGGCGAACGGGUGAGUAACACGUGAGUAACCUGCCCUUGACUUUGGGAUAACUUCAGGAAACUGGGGCUAAUACCGGAUAGGAGCUCCUGCUGCAUGGUGGGGGUUGGAAAGUUUCGGCGGUUGGGGAUGGACUCGCGGCUUAUCAGCUUGUUGGUGGGGUAGUGGCUUACCAAGGCUUUGACGGGUAGCCGGCCUGAGAGGGUGACCGGCCACAUUGGGACUGAGAUACGGCCCAGACUCCUACGGGAGGCAGCAGUGGGGAAUAUUGCACAAUGGGCGGAAGCCUGAUGCAGCAACGCCGCGUGCGGGAUGACGGCCUUCGGGUUGUAAACCGCUUUCGCCUGUGGCGAAGCGUGAGUGACGGUAAUAGGUAAAGAAGCACCGGCUAACUACGUG
rnacentral:rRNA from 1 species